GAUCAAGUGUCUUAAGGGCAAUUGGUGGAUGCCUUGGCAUGCACAGGCGAUGAAGGACGUGAUACGCUGCGAUAAGCUACGGGGAGGUGCGAAUACCCUUUGAUCCGUAGAUUUCCGAAUGGGGAAACCCACCUAAGGUACUUGGAAAAUCAGAGCAGCCGGAAGGUCGCAAGGCCGACUUGCUGCUGUGGUUUCCAAGUAUCGAUAAUAGGUAACUUACCCUGAAUACAUAGGGGUAAAGUGGCGAACGCGGGGAACUGAAACAUCUAAGUACCCGUAGGAAAGGACAUCAACCGAGACUCCGGAAGUAGUGGCGAGCGAACCCGGACCAGGCCAGUGGCGAUUGAGAGACAAGCGGAACCUUCUGGAAAGUAGGGCCAUAGUGGGUGACAGCCCCGUACGCGUAAUGCAAUCAAUCGUCCUCGAGUAAGGCGGGACACGUGAAAUCCUGUCUGAAAUUGGGGGGACCACCCUCCAAGCCUAAGUACUCGUGCAUGACCGAUAGCGAACUAGUACCGUGAGGGAAAGGUGAAAAGCACCCCGACAAGGGGAGUGAAAGAGUACCUGAAACCGAUUGCCUACAAACAGUGGAAGCCCAAGGUUCGUCCUGGGUGACCACGUACCUUUUGUAUAAUGGGUCAGCGACUUAGUGUGACGAGCAAGCUUAAACCGCUAGGUGUAGGCGCAGCGAAAGCGAGUCUGAAUAGGGCGUUCAGUUCGUCGCAUUAGACCCGAAACCGAGUGAUCUAGCCAUGAGCAGGUUGAAGGUAAGGUAACACUUACUGGAGGACCGAACCCAUAACUGUUGCAAUAGUUCGGGAUGACUUGUGGCUAGGGGUGAAAGGCCAAUCAAACUCGGAAAUAGCUGGUUCUCCGCGAAAUCUAUUUAGGUAGAGCGUCGACCGAAUACCCCAGGGGGUAGAGCACUGGAUGGGCUAGGGGUCCUCACCGGAUUACCAAACCUAACCAAACUCCGAAUACCUGGGAGUACUAGUCGGCAGACACACGGCGGGUGCUAACGUCCGUCGUGAAAAGGGAAACAACCCUGACCUACAGCUAAGGUCCCCAAGUUAUGGCUAAGUGGGAAAGGAUGUGAGGAUCCCAAAACAACCAGGAUGUUGGCUUAGAAGCAGCCAUCAUUUAAAGAAAGCGUAACAGCUCACUGGUCUAAAUAAGGGUCUUUGCGCCGAAAAUGUAACGGGGCUAAAGCCAUACACCGAAGCUUAGGGUUUGGUCCGCAAGGGCCAAGCGGUAGCGGAGCGUUCUGUAAGCUGAUGAAGCCAUACCCGUGAGGGGUGGUGGAGGUAUCAGAAGUGCGAAUGCUGACAUGAGUAACGUAAGGGGAGUGAGAGACUCCCCCGCCGAAAGACCAAGGGUUCCUGCUUAAAGCUAAUCUGAGCAGGGUUAGCCGGCCCCUAAGACGAGGCGGAAACGCGUAGUCGAUGGGAACCACGUUAAUAUUCGUGGGCUUGGAGGUAGUGACGGAUCAUUGAGGUAGUCCAAUCUUAUCGGAUUGAACGGGCUGCUGCGUGGUUCCAGGAAAUAGCUCCUCCUUAUAAACCGUACCCGAAACCGACACUGGUGGUCUGGUAGAGUAUACCAAGGCGCUUGAGAGAACUAUGCUGAAGGAACUCGGCAAAUUGCACGCGUAACUUCGGAAGAAGCGUGACCCUUUUCUACGCAAGUAGAGGAGGGUGGCACAGACCAGGGGGUAGCGACUGUUUAUCAAAAACACAGGGCUCUGCGAAGUCGCAAGACGACGUAUAGGGUCUGACGCCUGCCCGGUGCUGGAAGGUUAAGAGGAGGGGUGCAAGCUCUGAAUCGAAGCCCCAGUAAACGGCGGCCGUAACUAUAACGGUCCUAAGGUAGCGAAAUUCCUUGUCGGGUAAGUUCCGACCUGCACGAAUGGCGUAACGACUUCCCCGCUGUCUCCAGCAUAGACUCAGUGAAAUUGAAUUCCCCGUGAAGAUGCGGGGUUCCUGCGGUUAGACGGAAAGACCCCGUGCACCUUUACUAUAGCUUUACAUUGGCAUUCGUAGUGGCAUGUGUAGGAUAGGUGGUAGGCUUUGAAACCUGGGCGCCAGCUCAGGUGGAGCCACCCUUGAAAUACCACCCUUAUUACUAUGGAUGUCUAACCGCGGCCCGUUAUCCGGGUCCGGGACAAUGUAUGGUGGGUAGUUUGACUGGGGCGGUCGCCUCCUAAAGAGUAACGGAGGCGCGCGAUGGUGGGCUCAGAACGGUCGGAAAUCGUUCGCUGAGUGCAAUGGCAUAAGCCUGCCUGACUGCGAGACUGACAAGUCGAGCAGAGACGAAAGUCGGUCAUAGUGAUCCGGUGGUCCCGCGUGGAAGGGCCAUCGCUCAACGGAUAAAAGGUACGCCGGGGAUAACAGGCUGAUGACCCCCAAGAGUCCAUAUCGACGGGGUUGUUUGGCACCUCGAUGUCGACUCAUCGCAUCCUGGGGCUGGAGCAGGUCCCAAGGGUAUGGCUGUUCGCCAUUUAAAGCGGUACGUGAGUUGGGUUCAGAACGUCGUGAGACAGUUCGGUCCCUAUCUGCCGUGGGUGUAGGAAUAUUGAAAGGAUCUGUCCCUAGUACGAGAGGACCGGGAUGGACGGAUCUCUGGUGGACCUGUUGUGGCGCCAGCCGCAUAGCAGGGUAGCUAUAUCCGGACGGGAUAACCGCUGAAGGCAUCUAAGCGGGAAACCCACCUUAAAACGAGUAUUCCCUGAGAACCGUGGAAGACGACCACGUUGAUAGGCCGGGUGUGGAAGAGCGGCAACGCUUGAAGCGUACCGGUACUAAUAGUUCGAUCGGCUUGAUCGUUCUCAUU
rnacentral:rRNA from 1 species